UCGAUGGGAGCUUGCUCCCUGAGAUUAGCGGCGGACGGGUGAGUAACACGUGGGCAACCUGCCUAUAAGACUGGGAUAACUUCGGGAAACCGGAGCUAAUACCGGAUACGUUCUUUUCUCGCAUGAGAGAAGAUGGAAAGACGGUUUACGCUGUCACUUAUAGAUGGGCCCGCGGCGCAUUAGCUAGUUGGUGAGGUAAUGGCUCACCAAGGCGACGAUGCGUAGCCGACCUGAGAGGGUGAUCGGCCACACUGGGACUGAGACACGGCCCAGACUCCUACGGGAGGCAGCAGUAGGGAAUCUUCCGCAAUGGACGAAAGUCUGACGGAGCAACGCCGCGUGAACGAAGAAGGCCUUCGGGUCGUAAAGUUCUGUUGUUAGGGAAGAACAAGUACCAGAGUAACUGCUGGUACCUUGACGGUACCUAACCAGAAAGCCACGGCUAACUACGUGCCAGCAGCCGCGGUAAUACGUAGGUGGCAAGCGUUGUCCGGAAUUAUUGGGCGUAAAGCGCGCGCAGGUGGUUCCUUAAGUCUGAUGUGAAAGCCCACGGCUCAACCGUGGAGGGUCAUUGGAAACUGGGGAACUUGAGUGCAGAAGAGGAAAGUGGAAUUCCAAGUGUAGCGGUGAAAUGCGUAGAGAUUUGGAGGAACACCAGUGGCGAAGGCGACUUUCUGGUCUGUAACUGACACUGAGGCGCGAAAGCGUGGGGAGCAAACA
rnacentral:rRNA from 2 species